ACAAAUCGAACUAGUCGAUUACAUGUCAUACAAUUCAAUCCCCACCGUGGGAUAUUUAAAAGCUAGGCCACGUGCAUUCUCCAGGACGACCUCCCAAGUCUCCGAGCCACGUGCCUCAAACCUCGGGCCCACGUGCAUUCUCUAAGGCGACCUCUUCGCCAAGGUGGUACAUCAAGCCACCGAGCCACGUGUCCUUUUUACGAUGCCUGGGCCCACGUGCAUUCUCUAAGGUACUCGCUUACCAAAGUGACGCAUCAGAUCACCGAGCCACGUGCCCUUUUAGAUGCCAUUCCGAAUACUGGACCCACAUGCAUUCUCUAAGGUACUCGCUUACCAAAGUGACGCAUCAGAU
rnacentral:lncRNA from 1 species